rnacentral:tRNA from 2 species
AGUAGCUCAGUUGGUUAGAGCACCUGACUGUUAAUCAGGGGGUCGCUGGUUCAAGCCCAGCC